rnacentral:lncRNA from 1 species
ACAAAAGGAGGCUUCUCUCAGACGAAACGAAUAAAGAAAAGCUGAGAAGAAUCCAUAAAAGGUGACAAAAGCAAGAAGGAGAAGCAAAGCAUGUUUCCUUAUCUUGUCUUCUGAUUCACUCACUAUUCUUCUUCUUCUUCAUCAUCAUGAUCAUUAGUAUUCCACCAAAACCCACUCUUCUCCUCUCUUUUCUCACAUUGUUAGUGUUCUUCUUUACAUCUGAUCUAAUUUUGUUCCUCUUUGUUUGGUAGAAGAAAAGAAUGGAGGGUACUUAUCAGUGUUCUGCAACAAUGGUGAUGAGGCUCUCAAGAAGGGCAUUUUCGUUAGAGAAGAAGAAACAUUUUAGUUCCAUAACUCUUUUGUGUCGUUGAUGAUCAGAUUCAUUUCUUUAUGUUUUUUAAAAAGUUUUAAUCCUCUUAUUAAACCGAUAAAAAAAUUGUGUGACCAGGUCUGGAAGUAGUAGUAGUGAUAUUGGCGGAAUGGCUCAAUCUCCUUGUCACAUUUAUCACUUUCUCUGUUUCUCUUUUUUAACAUUUUAGAAUUGUAUGAUCUUAUACUUAAUUCUUAACUACAUUACUUGUUUUGCCUUUUUUAUGAUUCUUUCAUUAACUACAAUUUCACCCAUUCUUCAAAAUGUUAACCAAAAACAUGUUAUGAUUAUCUCGAUUUGUCACUUUCUAAGAAAUUAUGACUGUGUAUAUAGAUUUGUGAUGCUGCCUGCAGUUGAUAAUGAUACUGCAUGUCUGUGUUUUGUUGACGACACAACAGAGGAAAAAGAAACAGAGAGAGAGAGAGAGAUAUGUCUUUGGUUCUAGAUUUCUAUUUCUCUCGGUAAAUGUGCCUUUCAUAUAAUCGGAUAGCUUUCCUUUUCUUUUCUUUU